GAUGAACGCUGGCGGCGUGCCUAAUACAUGCAAGUCGAGCGAACAGACGAGGAGCUUACUCCUCUGACGUUAGCGGCGGACGGGUGAGUAACACGUGGAUAACCUACCUAUAAGACUGGGAUAACUUCGGGAAACCGGAGCUAAUACCGGAUAACAUGUUGAACCACAUGGUUCAACAGUGAAAGACGGUCUUGCUGUCACUUAUAGAUGGAUCCGCGUCGCAUUAGCUAGUUGGUAAGGUAACGGCUUACCAAGGCAACGAUGCGUAGCCGACCUGAGAGGGUGAUCGGCCACACUGGAACUGAGACACGGUCCAGACUCCCAAGGGAGGCAGCAGUAGGGAAUCUUCCGCAAUGGGCGAAAGCCUGACGGAGCAACGCCGCGUGAGUGAAGAAGGUCUUCGGAUCGUAAAACUCUGUUAUUAGGGAAGAACAAAUGUGUAAGUAACUAUGCACGUCUUGACGGUACCUAAUCAGAAAGCCACGGCUAACUACGUG
rnacentral:rRNA from 1 species